UAGGGAAUCUUCCACAAUAGACGCAAGUCUGAUGGAGCAACGCCGCGUGAGUGAAGAAGGUUUUCGGAUCGUAAAGCUCUGUUGUUGGUGAAGAAGGAUAGAGGCAGUAACUGGUCUUUAUUUGACGGUAAUCAACCAGAAAGUCACGGCUAACUACGUGCCAGCAGCCGCGGUAAUACGUAGGUGGCAAGCGUUGUCCGGAUUUAUUGGGCGUAAAGCGAGCGCAGGCGGAAUGAUAAGUCUGAUGUGAAAGCCCACGGCUCAACCGUGGAACUGCAUCGGAAACUGUCAUUCUUGAGUGCAGAAGAGGAGAGUGGAAUUCCAUGUGUAGCGGUGGAAUGCGUAGAUAUAUGGAAGAACACCAGUGGCGAAGGCGGCUCUCUGGUCUGCAACUGACGCUGAGGCUCGAAAGCAUGGGUAGCGAACAGG
rnacentral:rRNA from 1 species